GAUGAACGCUGGCGGCGUGCUUAACACAUGCAAGUCGAACGGAGAGGCCACAGCUUUCGUUGGGACGGGAGUGUGGAACAGGGGAGUGAAACGUGUGUGAUCUGCGCUGUACUUCUUGGGAAGCUGGGGGAACUGGGGCGAAUAUCGUAGAGAAAUACCGAUUUUGGGUUGGGGGGGGAUGCUUUGGCGGUAUGGGGUGAGAUCGCGGCCUGUCAGCUUGCUGGUGGGGUGUUGGGCUACCAAGGCGUCGACGGGUAGCCGGCCUGAGAGGGUGUACGGCCACAUUGGGACUGAGAUACGGCCCAGACUGCUACGGGAGGCAGCAGUGGGGAAUAUUGCACAAUGGGCGCAAGCCUGAUGCAGCGAAGCGGCGUGGGGGAUGACGGCCCUCGGGUUGCAAACUCCUUUCGCCAGGGACGAAGCGAAAGUGACGGUACCUGGAUAAGAAGCACCGGCUAACUACGUG
rnacentral:rRNA from 1 species